GUCAGCAGCACCUCAAAGCUUCGCUUUGGUUUUGGAGCGGUCGCCGCGAGGUCACCGCCCCUAACGUUGCAGACGAUAGCGGUAACGAAACCGGCAGCGAACGUAGUAAGAUUAUUUCGUUUACCCUGCCCGGCUUCGCCCGCCCACCAGAAACCUUGAUUUUUGACCUCAAAUCAGACGAGGAUACCCGCUGAACUUAA
rnacentral:misc_RNA from 1 species